AUCCAAGCAGAGCUCUCCCAAACAACAGCUAUCUCCCCAUGGAAUGACGAGCUAGGAAAACACAAUCAACUGCAAAUUGGUGAGCAAGGAACCAAUUAAGUGAUGGAGAACCCAGGAAAGACAAAAUGGAGGUUAAACCACCUCAAUCUCAUGUAGCCUAAAAGGAAUUAUUAACCAAUAGUUCCUACACAUCUUUUGAGAUAACCAUCAACAUGGAUAUCCAUGGAGAUAGAUUUCCUCUAGGUUUGACACAUAUCGGCUACUGGAUCCACAAAGACUCAUCAAAAGACCCUAUCCAAGAAGAGGUACUAAAACUCUAAAUCUAGAAACUAGAAAAGCACUGCAACAAAAUAGUACAAACUAAAGAAAUUACAAAAAGAAGAAGAAGAAAAGGUAGAGGGGG
rnacentral:misc_RNA from 1 species